GGAGUUAGCCGGUGCUUCUUCUGUGAGUGAUGUCCUUCCUGCCGGCUAUUAACCCGCAGGCCUUCUUCCUCACUGAAAGUGCUUUACAACCCGAAGGCCUUCUUCACACACGCGGCAUGGCUGGAUCAGGGUUGCCCCCAUUGUCCAAUAUUCCCCACUGCUGCCUCCCGUAGGAGUCUGGGCCGUGUCUCAGUCCCAGUGUGGCUGAUCAUCCUCUCAGACCAGCUACGGAUCGUCGCCUUGGUGAGCCGUUACCUCACCAACCAGCUAAUCCGACAUAGACUCAUCCGAUAGCGCGAGGCCCGAAGGUCCCCCGCUUUCCCCCGUAGGGCGUAUGCGGUAUUAGCCUGGGUUUCCCCAGGUUAUCCCCCACUACCGGGCAGAUUCCUAUGCAUUACUCACCCGUCCGCCGCUCGCCACCAGGGAGCAAGCUCCCCGUGCUGCCGCUCGACUUGCAUGUGUAGCUCGCCGCCACGCGUCAUACUGAGCGAGAGUACAACUACUCGA
rnacentral:rRNA from 1 species